rnacentral:rRNA from 1 species
UACGUAGGGUGCAAGCGUUGUCCGGAUUUAUUGGGCGUAAAGAGCGUGUAGGCGGCCAGAUAGGUCCGUUGUGAAAACUCGAGGCUCAACCUCGAGACGCCGAUGGAAACCAUCUGGCUAGAGUCCGGAAGAGGAGAGUGGAAUUCCUGGUGUAGCGGUGAAAUGCGCAGAUAUCAGGAGGAACACCGAUGGCGAAGGCAGCCAUCUGGACCGACACUGACGCUGAGGCGCGAAAGCGUGGGGAGCAAACAGG